rnacentral:rRNA from 1 species
AGAAUCAACGCUGGCGGCGUGCCUAACACAUGCAAGUCGCACGAGAAAGGGGAGCAAUUCCUGAGUAAAGUGGCGCACGGGUGAGUAACACGUGAAUAAUCUACCUCCGAGUGGGGAAUAACUGAGAGAAAUCUUAGCUAAUACCGCAUAACACUUACGAGUCAAAGCAGCAAUGCGCUUGGAGAGGAGUUCGCGGCCGAUUAGUUAGUUGGCGGGGUAAUGGCCCACCAAGACGAUGAUCGGUAUCCGGCCUGAGAGGGCGCACGGACACACUGGAACUGAAACACGGUCCAGACUCCUACGGGAGGCAGCAGUGGGGAAUUUUGCGCAAUGGGGGAAACCCUGACGCAGCAACGCCGCGUGGAGGAUGAAGCCCCUUGGGGUGUAAACUCCUUUCGAUCGGGAAGAUAAUGACGGUACCGAUAUAAGAGCCCGGCUAACUUCGCGCCAGCAGCCGC